GACGAACGCUGGCGGCGUGCUUAACACAUGCAAGUCGAACGGUGAAGCGCCUUCCUUUUUGGUGGGUGUGGAUGAGUGGCGAACGGGUGAGUAACACGUGAGUAACCUGCCCCCUUCUUCUGGAUAACCGCAUGAAAGUGUGGCUAAUACGGGAUAUUCUGGGUCUGUCGCAUGAUGGGUCUGGGAAAGAUAUUGUUUCGGUGGGGGAUGGGCUCGCGGCCUAUCAGCUUGUUGGUGGGGUGAUGGCCUACCAAGGCGGUGACGGGUAGCCGGCCUGGGAGGGUGGACGGUCACACUGGGACUGAGACACGGCCCAGACUCCUACGGGAGGCAGCAGUGGGGAAUAUUGCACAAUGGGCGCAAGCCUGAUGCAGCGACGCCGCGUGAGGGAUGGAGGCCUUCGGGUUGUGAACCUCUUUCGCCAGUGAAGCAGGCCUGCCUCGUUUGUGGGUGGGUUGACGGUAGCUGGAGAAGAAGCGCCGGCCAACUACGUG
rnacentral:rRNA from 1 species